rnacentral:rRNA from 1 species
UGCUGCAUGGCUGUCGUCAGCUCGUGUCGUGAGAUGUUGGGUUAAGUCCCGCAACGAGCGCAACCCUUACCCUUAGUUGCCAGCGGGUAAUGCCGGGCACUCUAAGGGGACCGCCCGGAUAACGGGGAGGAAGGCGGGAUGACGUCAAGUCAGCAUGGCCCUUAUGUCCAGGGCUACACACGUGCUACAAUGGGCGAUACAGAGGGAAGCAAGGCCGCAAGGUAGAGCUAAUCCCUAAAGUCGUCCUCAGUUCGGAUUGCAGGCUGCAACUCGCCUGCAUGAAGUCGGAAUCGCUAGUAAUCGCGGAUCAGCUACGCCGCGGUGAAUACGUUCCCGGGCCUU